rnacentral:tRNA from 1 species
AGUUAAUGAACUUGAAUAAGUAUAUGUCUUGAAAACAUAAAAUAGUAUUUAAAAUAUACUAUUAACUU